CAUGCAAGUCGAGCGGACAGAUGGGAGCUUGCUCCCUGAUGUUAGCGGCGGACGGGUGAGUAACACGUGGGUAACCUGCCUGUAAGACUGGGAUAACUCCGGGAAACCGGGGCUAAUACCGGAUGGUUGUCUGAACCGCAUGGUUCAGACAUAAAAGGUGGCUUCGGCUACCACUUACAGAUGGACCCGCGGCGCAUUAGCUAGUUGGUGAGGUAACGGCUCACCAAGGCGACGAUGCGUAGCCGACCUGAGAGGGUGAUCGGCCACACUGGGACUGAGACACGGCCCAGACUCCUACGGGAGGCAGCAGUAGGGAAUCUUCCGCAAUGGACGAAAGUCUGACGGAGCAACGCCGCGUGAGUGAUGAAGGUUUUCGGAUCGUAAAGCUCUGUUGUUAGGGAAGAACAAGUGCCGUUCAAAUAGGGCGGCACCUUGACGGUACCUAACCAGAAAGCCACGGCUAACUACGUGCCAGCAGCCGCGGUAAUACGUAGGUGGCAAGCGUUGUCCGGAAUUAUUGGGCGUAAAGGGCUCGCAGGCGGUUUCUUAAGUCUGAUGUGAAAGCCCCCGGCUCAACCGGGGAGGGUCAUUGGAAACUGGGGAACUUGAGUGCAGAAGAGGAGAGUGGAAUUCCACGUGUAGCGGUGAAAUGCGUAGAGAUGUGGAGGAACACCAGUGGCGAAGGCGACUCUCUGGUCUGUAACUGACGCUGAGGAGCGAAAGCGUGGGGAGCGAACAGGAUUAGAUACCCUGGUAGUCCACGCCGUACACGAUGAGUGCUAAGUGUUAGGGGGUUUCCG
rnacentral:rRNA from 1 species